rnacentral:rRNA from 1 species
AACGAACGCUGGCGGCAGGCUUAACACAUGCAAGUCGAGCGAAGACUUCGGUCUUAGCGGCGGACGGGUGAGUAACACGUGGGUAACCUGCCCAUCAGAGGGGGAUAACACUUGGAAACAGGUGCUAAUACCGCAUAAUUCCUUUUACCGCAUGGUAAAAGGCUGAAAGGCGCUUCUGGUGUCACUGAUGGAUGGACCCGCGGUGCAUUAGCUAGUCGGUGGGGUAACGGCCUACCGAGGCGAUGAUGCAUAGCCGACCUGAGAGGGUGAUCGGCCACAUUGGGACUGAGACACGGCCCAAACUCCUACGGGAGGCAGCAGUAGGGAAUCUUCGGCAAUGGACGAAAGUCUGACCGAGCAACGCCGCGUGAGUGAAGAAGGUUUUCGGAUCGUAAAACUCUGUUGUUAGAGAAGAACAGGAGAAGUAGUAACUGGCUUCUUUUUGACGGUAUCUAACCAGAAAGCCACGGCUAACUACGUGCCAGCCGCCGCAGUAAUA